UACGAAGGGUGCAAGCGUUACUCGGAAUUACUGGGCGUAAAGCGUGCGUAAGUGGUUUGUUAAGUCUGAUGUGAAAGCCCUGGGCUCAACCUGGGAAUUGCAUUGGAUGCUGGCAGGCUAGAGUGCGGUAGAGGAUGGCGGAAUUCCCGGUGUAGCAGUGAAAUGCGUAGAGAUCGGGAGGAACAUCUGUGGCGAAGGCGGCCAUCUGGACCAGCACUGACACUGAGGCACGAAAGCGUGGGGAGCAAACAGG
rnacentral:rRNA from 1 species